CAGUCGCCACGGUAAUACGCAGGUGGCGAGCGUUGUCCGGAUUUAUUGGGCGUAAAGGGAGUGUAGGCGGUCUUUUAAGUCUGAUGUGAAAGCCCACGGCUCAACCGUGGAGGGUCAUUGGAAACUGUUAAACUUGAGUGCAGGAGAGAAAAGUGGAAUUCCUAGUGUAGCGGUGAAAUGCGUAGAGAUUAGGAGGAACACCAGUGGCGAAGGCGGCUUUUUGGCCUGUAACUGACACUGAGGCGCGAAAGCGUGGGGAGCAAACAGGAUUAGAUACCCGGGUAGUCCCUGUCUCUUAUAC
rnacentral:rRNA from 1 species